rnacentral:rRNA from 1 species
CCUGAGAAACCCGAAAGAUCGAAUGGGGAGAUUCAUCGUCAGCGAUUCCGGUACGUGUGCGGCUCGCGAUGUCCGAGACUUCGGUCUCGCGGCACGCGUCCGCAUGUUUUUUAUUGCUGGAAUCGUCGGCGUGCACUUCUUCCCUAGUAGGACGUCGCGACCCGUUGGGUGUCGGUCUACGGCACGGUAGGUAGCCUGUCACGUGUGCGCUUCACGGCGUUACACGGGGCAGACCUCCGUUCGCCCGACCGGCUGCUCGGCGGUACUCGCAAGGUAUCUGGCCGCAGACAUACGAACUGCGUCCGGCCCGUCGCAAGCGCGGCAAGUGUUUCCCGGCUGUCACGGAUCUAAUGCCGUCACCGGGCCUUGCCAGCUGUUGGUUGACGGUGUCCUAGGACUGGCUAACAAUUAUUAUGAUACCGGUCGGCGACGCUACUGCUUUGGUACUUUC